rnacentral:rRNA from 1 species
CCUACGGGGUGCUGCAGUGGGGAAUAUUGGGCAAUGGGCGCAAGCCUGACCCAGCAACGCCGCGUGAAGGAAGAAGGCUUUCGGGUUGUAAACUUCUUUUCUCAGGGACGAAGACAGUGACGGUACCUGAGGACUAAGCCACGGCUAACUACGUGCCAGCAGCCGCGGUAAUACGUAGGUGGCAAGCGUUAUCCGGAUUUACUGGGUGUAAAGGGCGUGUAGGCGGGAAAGCAAGUCAGAUGUGAAAACCAUGGGCUCAACCUGUGGCCUGCAUUUGAAACUGUUUUUCUUGAGUACUGGAGAGGCAGACGGAAUUCCUAGUGUAGCGGUGAAAUGCGUAGAUAGUAGGAGGAACACCAGUGGCGAAGGCGGUCUGCUGGACAGCAACUGACGCUGAGGCGCGAAAGCGUGGGGAGCAAACAGGAUUAGAUACCCUUGUAGUC